rnacentral:rRNA from 1 species
UACAGAGGUCCCAAGCGUUGUUCGGAUUCACUGGGCGUAAAGGGUGCGCAGGUGGUCGGGUAAGUCUGACGUGAAAUCCCGCAGCUUAACUGCGGAAUGGCAUUGGAUACUAUUCGGCUAGAGGGUUGGAGGGGGGACUGGAAUUCUCGGUGUAGCAGUGAAAUGCGUAGAUAUGCGGAGGAACACCGAUGGCGAAGGCAAUCCCCUGGGCCUGCACUGACGCUCAUGCACGAAAGCGUGGGGAGCAAACAGG